rnacentral:rRNA from 1 species
GAUGAACGCUGGCGGCGUGCUUAACACAUGCAAGUCGAACGAAGCACUUUAUUUGAUUUCCUUCGGGACUGAUCAUUUUGUGACUGAGUGGCGGACGGGUGAGUAACGCGUGGGUAACCUGCCUUGUACAGGGGGAUAACAGUUGGAAACGGCUGCUAAUACCGCAUAAGCGCACAGCAUCGCAUGAUGCAGUGUGAAAAACUCCGGUGGUAUAAGAUGGACCCGCGUUGGAUGCGCUAGUUGGUGAGGUAACGGCCCACCAAGGCGACGAUCCAUAGCCGGGCUGUGAGGCUGGCCCGCCACAUUGGGACUGGGACGCGGUCCGGACUCCUACGGGAGGGAGCAGUGGGGAAUAUUGCACAAUGGGCGAAGGCCUGAUGCAGCGACGCCGCGAGAGCGAAGAAGUAUUUCGGUAUGUAAAGCUCUAUCAGCAGGGACGAUAAUGACGGUACCUGACGAAGAAGCACCGGCUAAAUACGUG